AAGCCAGUCAAUGAAUCUGCUUACUGAAUGUGUUUCUGCAGUAAUUUUAAUAAAGCUGGCAAUAGUAAAGCCAUGGUACGAGCCUUAAGGACAUUGAAGUCUUUAAGGUCCCUGAAAAUGGCUAUAACA
rnacentral:snoRNA from 1 species